rnacentral:rRNA from 1 species
CCUACGGGAGGCAGCAGUGGGGAAUUUUGCGCAAUGCUCGUACGAGUGACGCAGCGACGCCGCGUGUAUGACGAAGGCCUUCGGGUCGUAAAGUUCUUUCGACCGGGAGGACAGUGUCUAUAAGUAACUGUGUGUGUAUUGACGGUACCUGUAUAAGCAGCACCGGCUAACUCCGUGCCAGCAGCCGCGGUAAUACGGAGGGGGCGAGCGUUGAUCGGAGUGACUGGGCGUAAAGAGCACGUAGGCGGUUGGUUAAGUCAUUAGUCAAAUACUAGAGCUUAACUUGGGAAGGGCUGGUGAUACUAGACUACUAGAGUAUUGGAGAGGAGUGUAGAAUUCCUUGUGUAGCGGUGAAAUGCGUAGAGAUCAGGAGGAAUACCGGUAGCGAAGGCGGCAACCUGGCUAGAAACUGACGCUGAGGUGCGAAAGCGUGGGUAGCAAACAGGAUUAGAUACCCCAGUAGUC